CCUACGGGUCGCAGCAGUGGGGAAUAUUGCACAAUGGGCGCAAGCCUGAUGCAGCCAUGCCGCGUGUGUGAAGAAGGCCUUCGGGUUGUAAAGCACUUUCAGCGGGGAGGAAGGCGUUAAGGUUAAUAACCUCAUCGAUUGACGUUACCCGCAGAAGAAGCACCGGCUAACUCCGUGCCAGCAGCCGCGGUAAUACGGAGGGUGCAAGCGUUAAUCGGAAUUACUGGGCGUAAAGCGCACGCAGGCGGUCUGUCAAGUCGGAUGUGAAAUCCCCGGGCUCAACCUGGGAACUGCAUUCGAAACUGGCAGGCUAGAGUCUUGUAGAGGGGGGUAGAAUUCCAGGUAUAGCGGUGAAAUGCGUAGAGAUCUGGAGGAAUACCGGUGGCGAAGGCGGCCCCCUGGACAGAGACUGACGCUCAGGUGCGAAAGCGUGGGGAGCAAACAGGAUUAGAUACCCCCGUAGUC
rnacentral:rRNA from 1 species